UCAUCUUUCACUUUCUUGGGUCGCCUGUUCUCUCUCUAUAAUUGUCUCUCUGCAUCUGUGUUUAUAUUCUUCGUUCAGCCCCCCUGUGUUGUCCCUCCUGUUUUGUUCUCUGGUUUCCUUUGUCCGUCCACUGGUUUUCUCGGUUUUCUUCCGCUUCCCUUCUUUCUCCUCUGUUUUGGUCCUCUAUUGUGAUUCUCCUCUGGAGAGCUCAGGUUCUGGUGCAGUUGUUGCUGAAGAUAGAGACCUAGCCUACUCGGAGUGCUGGAUCGAAGAAAGGAAGCUUACUG
rnacentral:lncRNA from 1 species